rnacentral:rRNA from 1 species
GGAAGCUUGCUUCCCCGAGUUAGCGGCGGACGGGUGAGUAACACGUAGGAAUCUGCCUCUGGGCGGGGGAUAACGGAUCGAAAGAUGCGCUAAUACCCCAUACGCGAAUAGCUUUCGGGCUAUUUGUAAAAGGCUUCGGUCACCCGGAGAUGAGCCUGCGUCCGAUUAGCUAGUUGGUAGGGUAAAGGCCUACCAAGGCUACGAUCGGUAGUUGGUCUGAGAGGAUGAUCAGCCACAAUGGAACUGAGACACGGUCCAUACUCCUACGGGAGGCAGCAGUGGGGAAUUUUACGCAAUGGGCGAAAGCCUGACGUAGCGACACCGCGUGAGCGAAGAAGCACUUUGGUGUGUAAAGCUCUGUCAGCUGGAACGAACACAAUGACGGUACCAGCAGAGGAAGCAUCGGCUAACUACGUGCCAGCAGCCGCGGUAAGACGUAGGAUGCAAGCGUUGUCCGGAUUUAUUGGGCGUAAAGAGUUCGUAGGCGGUUAGUUAAGUCUGGUGUUAAAUCCCGUGGCCCAACCACGGACCUGCAUUGGAUACUGGCUAACUUGAGUGCGGUAGAGGCGAGUGGAAUUCCCAGUGUAGCGGUGAAAUGCGUAGAUAUUGGGAAGAACACCGGUGGCGUAGGCGACUCGCUGGGCCGUAACUGACGCUGAGGAACGAAAGCUAGGGGAGCGAAUGGGAUUAGAUACCCCAGUAGUCCUAGCUGUAAACGAUGGAUACUAGGCGUUGCGGGUAUCGACCCCCGCAGUGCCGUAGCUAACGCGAUAAGUAUCCCGCCUGAGUAGUACGGCCGCAAGGUUGAAACUCAAAGGAAUUGACGGGGGCCCGCACA